rnacentral:rRNA from 1 species
GACGAACGCUGGCGGCGUGCUUGACACAUGCAAGUCGAACGGAAAGGCCUGCUUUCCCUUGUGGAUUGCGGGUACUCGAGUGGCGAACGGGUGAGUAACACGUGAGUGAUCUGCCCCCAACUUGGGUAUAAGCCUGGGAAACUGGGUCUAAUUCCCGAUAGGACUGCAGGGUGGUGCCUGUGGUGGAACACGAUUUUCUAGUGGUUGGGGAUGAGCUCGCGGCCUAUCAGCUUGUUGGUGGGGUAAUGGCCUACCAAGGCGGCGACGGGUAGCCGGCCUGAGAGGGUGGACGGCCACAUUGGGACUGAGAUACGGCCCAGACUCCUACGGGAGGCAGCAGUGGGGAAUAGUGCACAAUGGGCGGAAGCCUGAUGCAGCGACGCCGCGUGGGGGAUGACGGCCUUCGGGUUGUAAACUCCUUUCGACCGCGAGGAAGCCACCUGGUUGGAAGGGUGGUGACGGUAGUGGUAGAAGAAGCACCGGCUAACUACGUG